rnacentral:tRNA from 1 species
UAACGUAAUAAGUGAACGCGGUCUAGUUAGUUCUGUCCCAUAGGUUUUUUGCUUUACUUUUUUUAAUUCAAAU